rnacentral:tRNA from 1 species
GGAGCCGAAGCGCAACUGGUCGCGCGCCCGGUUGUCUCCCGGGAGGCUGCGGGUUCGAACCCCGUCGGCUCCG